rnacentral:rRNA from 1 species
GACGGGGGCCCGCACAAGCAGCGGAGCAUGUGGUUUAAUUCGACGCAACGCGAAGAACCUUACCAGGUCUUGACAUCCAGGUAAAGCCGUAGAGAUACGGUGUGUGCUUGCACAAUCUGAGACAGGUGGUGCAUGGUUGUCGUCAGCUCGUGUCGUGAGAUGUUGGGUUAAGUCCCGCAACGAGCGCAACCCUUAUUUUCAGUUACUAACGCGUAAAGGUGAGGACUCUGAAGAGACUGCCGGGGACAACUCGGAGGAAGGUGGGGACGACGUCAAAUCAUCAUGCCCCUUAUGACCUGGGCUACACACGUGCUACAAUGGCCACCACAGAGAGGAGCGAACCCGUAAGGGGGAGCGGAUCUCAAAAAAGUGGUCCCAGUUCGGAUUGUGGGCUGCAACCCGCCCACAUGAAGUCGGAGUUGCUAGUAAUCGCGGAUCAGCAUGCCGCGGUGAAUACGUUCCCGGGCCUUGUACACACCGCCCGUCACACCAUGGGAGUUGGGAGUGCCCAAAGUCGGUGAGGUAACCGCAAGGAGCCAGCCGCCUAAGGCAAGACCAAUGACUGGGGUGAAGUCGUAACAAGGUAGCCGUUCGGAA